rnacentral:misc_RNA from 1 species
AUCGACACUUUGAACGCAUAUUGCGGCCCUGUGCUUGUAACAGGGCCACCCUUGUGUCAGGGUCGGUUAUAACAUCCAUCAGGAGAACUCUUUGGUUCUCCCUGCAUUGUCUCCACAGCUGCUUGUUUGGUGGCUGGGAGGCUAAAGUGUGUCUUGGACUGGAACAGUCUUUCAACUCUUGGGUUGUGUAAGCGCCCGGGUUGAUUUGACUCGGUCUCUCGACACUUGGCAUGUGAGCCGAGCGCUGGUGAGGCGGCUCUCUCGUUGCCAAACUUAGCUUUUUUUUUCGACCUGAUAUCAAGGGAGGC